GACGAACGCUGGCGGCGUGCUUAACACAUGCAAGUCGAACGGACAGGCCCUGCUUUUGUGGGGUGCUCGAGAGGCGAACGGGUGAGUAACACGUGAGUAACCUGCCCUUGACUUUGGGAUAACUUCAGGAAACUGGGGCUAAUACCGCAUAGGAGCUCCUGCUGCAUGGUGGGGGUUGGAGAGUUUCGGCGGUUGGGGAUGGACUCGCGGGUUAUCCGCCUGUUUGUGGGGUAGUGGCUUUCCAAGGCUUUGACGGGUAGCCGGCCUGAGAGGGUGACCGGCCACAAUGGGACUGAGAGACGCCCCAGACUCCUACGGGAGGCAGCAGUGGGGAAUAUUGCACAAUGGGCGGAAGCCUGAUGCAGCAACGCCGCGUGCGGGAUGACGGCCUUCGGGGUGUAAACCGCUUUCGCCUGUGACGAAGCGUGAGUGACGGUAAUGGGUAAAGAAGCACCGGCUAACUACGUG
rnacentral:rRNA from 1 species